rnacentral:pre_miRNA from 1 species
UGCCGUGCGAUUUGUGCAGUGUGCAACGUUUGCUCGAGCUAAACGCAAGUACUGUGCAUCCCCUGUGCGCUGUCAGUUUGUCCACGGUG